rnacentral:rRNA from 1 species
AUGCGUGAUCAGGUCGGCAUCGACCUGGACGGCUUCCCCCUCGACCACGAGUUCCUGGAGGACUAUGGGCUAGAGGAAGAGGACGAGUGCGACAUCGAAGUGGAGUCUUUGUUCGAGGACGAGCUCGCCAACCAAGCCGCCGGUCCCAAGCCGAAGCGCAAGAGCAAGCGCACGAAGGCGUACACAGCUGUCGAGGACAAGCUUCUUUGCGAGUGUUGGCGAGACAUUGGACAAGACCCAAAGACAGGCGCCGAGCAAAAGCAUUCGACCUUUUGGACUUGUGUGCACCGAGAGUUUCAUGAGCGCAAGAAGUUUCCACCUUACCAAUUUGUGAGCACGCGCGGGUGGGUCUCCAUUUCCAACAAGAGUGCAACAAGUUUUGCGCCACCCUUGAGAGCGUCAAGGCCCGCCCCGUGA